rnacentral:rRNA from 1 species
UACGAAGGGUGCAAGCGUUAAUCGGAAUUACUGGGCGUAAAGCGUGCGUAGGUGGUCUUUUAAGUCCGUUGUGAAAGCCCUGGGCUCAACCUGGGAAUGGCAGUGGAUACUGGAAGGCUGGAGUACGGUAGAGGAGGGUGGAAUUCCCGGUGUAGCGGCGAAAUGCGUAGAGAUCGGGAGGAACAUCAGUGGCGAAGGCGGCCCUCUGGACCAGUACUGACGCUGAGGCACGAAAGCGUGGGGAGCAAACAGG